CAAAGAAAGUCAUACUGGUUUGGAUCAACAUAAGGAUCUAUCUACACCGCGGCUCCUGUUGGAACACAUGACCCUCCUGUUGCAACAAAACAUGAGAAAGGACUGAGGAAUGCAGGAGCGAGAGGCCAGUCAGGAGAGGACAGCUGCAUGUGUUUAAGCAUGGUUUGUGAAACAGCCAGUGAUG